CCUACGGGAGGCAGCAGUGAGGAAUAUUGGUCAAUGGCCGGAAGGCUGAACCAGCCAAGCCGCGUGAAGGACGAAGGUGCCAAGCAUUGUAAACUUCUUUUCUCAGGGACGAAGAAAGUGACGGUACCUGAGGCAUAAGCCACGGCUAACUACGUGCCAGCAGCCGCGGUAAGACGUAGGUGGCAAGCGUUAUCCGGAUUUAUUGGGUGUAAAGGGCGUGUAGGCGGGAGCGCAAGUCAGAUGGGAAAACUCAGGGCGCAAGCCUGGGCCUGCCUUUGAAACUGUGUUUCUUGAGUGCUGGAGAGGCAAGCGGAAUUCCGGGUGUAGCGGUGAAAUGCGUAGAUAUACGGAGGAACACCAGUGGCGAAGGCGGAUUGCGGGACAGUAACUGACGCUGAGGCGCGAAAGCGUGGGGAUCAAACAGGAUUAGAUACCCGAGUAGUC
rnacentral:rRNA from 1 species